rnacentral:rRNA from 1 species
CCUACGGGAGGCUGCAGUGGGGAAUAUUGGACAAUGGGGGGAACCCUGAUCCAGCGACGCCGCGUGAGUGAAGAAGUAUUUCGGUAUGUAAAGCUCUAUCAGCAGGGAAGAAAGAAAUGACGGUACCUGACUAAGAAGCCCCGGCUAACUACGUGCCAGCAGCAGCGGUAAUACGGAGGGGGCAAGCGUUAUCCGGAUUUACUGGGUGUAAAGGGAGCGUAGACGGCGAUGCAAGUCUGGAGUGAAAGGCGGGGGCCCAACCCCCGGACUGCUUUGGAAACUGUAUGGCUGGAGUGCAGGAGAGGUAAGUGGAAUUCCUAGUGUAGCGGUGAAAUGCGUAGAUAUUAGGAGGAACACCAGUGGCGAAGGCGGCUUACUGGACUGUAACUGACGUUGAGGCUCGAAAGCGUGGGGAGCAAACAGGAUUAGAUACCCCAGUAGUC